UGGGGAAUUUUGGUCAAUGGGCGCAAGCCUGAACCAGCAACGCCGCGUGGGUGAUGAAGGCCUUCGGGUUGUAAAGCCCUGUCGGGAGGGACGAAUCCCCAGUGUAAUGAACUGGGUUGACGGUACCUUCAAAGGAAGCACCGGCUAACUCUGUGCCAGCAGCCGCGGUAAUACAGAGGGUGCAAGCGUUGUUCGGAAUUACUGGGCGUAAAGCGCGUGUAGGCGGUCUGCCAAGUCUGAUGUGAAAGCC
rnacentral:rRNA from 1 species